GCUGGCGGCGUGCCUAAUACAUGCAAGUCGAGCGAGCGGAACUAACAGAUUUACUUCGGUAAUGACGUUAGGAAAGCGAGCGGCGGAUGGGUGAGUAACACGUGGGGAACCUGCCCCAUAGUCUGGGAUACCACUUGGAAACAGGUGCUAAUACCGGAUAAGAAAGCAGAUCGCAUGAUCAGCUUUUAAAAGGCGGCGUAAGCUGUCGCUAUGGGAUGGCCCCGCGGUGCAUUAGCUAGUUGGUAAGGUAAAGGCUUACCAAGGCGAUGAUGCAUAGCCGAGUUGAGAGACUGAUCGGCCACAUUGGGACUGAGACACGGCCCAAACUCCUACGGGAGGCAGCAGUAGGGAAUCUUCCACAAUGGACGCAAGUCUGAUGGAGCAACGCCGCGUGAGUGAAGAAGGUUUUCGGAUCGUAAAGCUCUGUUGUUGGUGAAGAAGGAUAGAGGUAGUAACUGGCCUUUAUUUGACGGUAAUCAACCAGAAAGUCACGGCUAACUACGUGCCAGCAGCCGCGGUAAUACGUAGGUGGCAAGCGUUGUCCGGAUUUAUUGGGCGUAAAGCGAGCGCAGGCGGAAGAAUAAGUCUGAUGUGAAAGCCCUCGGCUUAACCGAGGAACUGCAUCGGAAACUGUUUUUCUUGAGUGCAGAAGAGGAGAGUGGAACUCCAUGUGUAGCGGUGGAAUGCGUAGAUAUAUGGAAGAACACCAGUGGCGAAG
rnacentral:rRNA from 1 species